rnacentral:rRNA from 1 species
ACGAACGCUGGCGGCGUGCCUAAUACAUGCAAGUAGAACGCACAGUUUAUACCGUAGCUUGCUACACCAUAGACUGUGAGUUGCGAACGGGUGAGUAACGCGUAGGUAACCUGCCUGGUAGCGGGGGAUAACUAUUGGAAACGAUAGCUAAUACCACAUAAUAUUAAUUAUUGCAUGAUAAUUAAUUGAAAGGUGCAAUUGCACCACUACCAGAUGGACCUGCGUUGUAUUAGCUAGUAGGUGAGGUAACGGCUCACCUAGGCGACGAUACAUAGCCGACCUGAGAGGGUGAUCGGCCACACUGGGACUGAGACACGGCCCAGACUCCUACGGGAGGCAGCAGUAGGGAAUCUUCGGCAAUGGACGAAAGUCUGACCGAGCAACGCCGCGUGAGUGAAGAAGGUUUUCGGAUCGUAAAGCUCUGUUGUAAGAGAAGAACGGGUGUGAGAGUGGAAAGUUCACACUGUGACGGUAUCUUACCAGAAAGGGACGGCUAACUACGUG